rnacentral:rRNA from 1 species
UGCCAGCCGCCGCGGUAAUACGGAGGGUGCAAGCGUUGUUCGGAAUUAUUGGGCGUAAAGCGCGUGUAGGCGGUUCGUUAAGUCUGAUGUGAAAGCCCGGGGCUCAACCCCGGAAGUGCAUUGGAAACUGGCGAACUUGAGUACGGGAGAGGAAAGUGGAAUUCCGAGUGUAGGGGUGAAAUCCGUAGAUAUUCGGAGGAACACCAGUGGCGAAGGCGAGACUCUGGACACUUACUGACGCUGAGGCACGAAGGCCAGGGUAGCGAAAGGGAUUAGAUA